rnacentral:lncRNA from 1 species
GAUGGGAUGAACUAACCCUAAUUUUUUUUGGCUUUUUCGUGGACUAUAGGUAUGAAGAACAGACUCGAUCUAAACUACGAAAAACUGUAAAAUCUCACCGAGCAACCUGGAAAUCUGAUACCACUUGAUAGAGGCGGGGUGUCCCGAUCUUUCGAUGAGAUGAUAACUAUCGAUUUGGUGAAGAUGACUUUGACGAUCCGACUACAAACGUGCACGACGUUGCGCCUUAGCAAUCGCUAAACCAACUCUGAGAGGUUAUUGACCACACCGGAGCACAAUCAACCUGACCACGAAGGUCUAUUCCUGCAAGCAAUCGAAGAACAAGCAAGAAUAUGAUAAAAGCAAUCUGAAUAUUGCGAGUAUAUAUGAGGUAUUGAUAAAGGUGGGGAUCCGUAAGCGGUCUUGGUCUGGUCGUUGGACACAAACGAAGUACACGAAGUUGCAAUGGCUAACUUUUAACUAAACAAAUCCCAAAGUCUAAACGAUGCCCUAAGGGCUGUAUAUAUGGAGGAAGAGGGGGGGAAUUUCGUGGCCCUUGGUGGAGGGGUCCGAAAUCAACCCUAUCUCUUGUUUCCCCACACAUACGGACUCUAAAAAUAGCCUAUACUUAUGUAUUUCGAAAUUACAUGGGCCUGACCCAAUAAUAAGGUGACGCAGCACCUAAAAUAGCCUCGGAACGAAAUUUAUGAAGUGGCAUCUUGUAUAUUUCGUCCAAAGCUUCAUGCACCCAUUAUGGUGGCUUCAAAGUCCUGAAAUCAUCACUUGUAACUCCGUUCUUGUUCUUGCUCCAAUGUUCAUCCUUCUCCAAGCUAGGCCCUUCAUUUGUAAGCAAAACAAAUGUAUCCAAUUUAGGCAGCAUCAUAUUCUCAUGAACAUUAGAAUCAUUACCAAGAAACGAAAGUACCUGGUAGUUUAGUUGGCGUGCACGAGCUCUAGUAAUUGGUCCAGUAUGUAUAGCAGCAGGGGCUGUGGGUGUAACAAUUGUAUUGAUGUCCUCAUCACGAAGGAGAUUAUGCGUCAAGUACAAGAGCUUCUCGUCAAAGGUUAUAUACGCGAAUCCCUUAGUCCUUGUGCUGUUCCUAUUAUUCUAGUGCCGAAAAAGGAUGGUACAUCACGUAUGUGUGUUGAUUGUAGAGGCAUUAAUAAUAUUACUAUUCGUUAUCGUCAUCCUAUUCCUAGGCUAGAUGAUAUGCUUGAUGAAUUGAGUGGCUCUACAAUAUUCUCCAAAGUUGAUUUGCGUAGUGGCUACCAUCAAAUUCGUAUGAAAUUGGGAGAUGAAUGGAAAAUAGCAUUUAAAACUAAGUUUGGAUUAUAUGAGUGGUUAGUCAUGCCUUUUGGGUUAACUAAUGCACCUAGUACUUUCAUGAGAUUAAUGAACGAAGUUUUACGUGCUUUCAUUGGACGAUUUGUGGUAGUUUACUUUGAUGACAUAUUGAUUUAUAGCAGAUCUUUGGAGGAACAUUUGGAACAUUUACGUGCUGUUUUUAUUGCUCUACGUGAUGCACGUUUGUUUGGUAACCUUGGGAAGUGCACCUUUUGCACCGACCGAGUAUCUUUUCUUGGCUAUGUUGUUACUCCACAGGGAAUUGAAGUUGAUAAAGCCAAGAUUGAAGCUAUUGAAAGUUGGCCGCAGCCCAAAACGGUCACACAAGUGAGGAGUUUUCUUGGCCUCGCUGGAUUCUAUAGGCGUUUUGUGAGAGAUUUCAGCACCAUUGCUGCACCUCUCAAUGAGCUUACAAAGAAAGAUGUGCCUUUUCUUUGGGGUACCGCACAGGAAGAAGCCUUCACGGUAUUGAAAGAUAAGUUGACACAUGCUCCUUUACUCCAACUUCCUGAUUUUAAUAAGACUUUUGAGCUUGAAUGUGAUGCUAGUGGAAUUGGAUUAGGAGGUGUGUUAUUACAAGAUGGCAAACCUGUUGCAUACUUUUCUGAAAAAUUGAGUGGGCCUAGUCUGAAUUAUUCUACUUAUGAUAAAGAAUUAUAUGCUCUUGUUCGGACUUUAGAAACAUGGCAACAUUAUUUAUGGUCCAAAGAAUUUGUUAUACAUUCUGAUCAUGAAUCUUUGAAACAUAUUAAAAGUUAAGCUAAACUGAAUCGUAGACAUGCUAAAUGGGUUGAAUUCAUUGAGACUUUCCCUUAUGUCAUUAAACACAAGAAGGGAAAAGAAAAUGUUAUUGCUGAUGCAUUGUCUCGUCGCUAUACUAUGCUUUCACAACUUGACUUCAAAAUAUUUGGUUUGGAGACCAUCAAAGAUCAAUAUGUGCAUGAUGCUGAUUUUAAAGAUGUAAUGCAGAAUUGUAAAGAAGGAAGAAUGUGGAACAAGUUUGUUGUUAACGAUGGAUUUGUGUUUCGUGCUAACAAGCUAUGCAUUCGAGCUAGCUCCGUUCGUCUUUUGUUGUUGCAGGAGGCCCAUGGAGGAGGAUUAAUGGGACACUUUGGCGUGAAGAAGACGGAGGACAUACUUGCUACACAUUUCUUUUGGCCAAAGAUGAGACGGGAUGUUGAGCGUUUUAUUGCUUGCUGCACUACAUGUCAAAAAGCUAAGUCACGACUCAAUCCUCAUGGUUUAUAUAUGCCUUUGCCUGUACCUAGUGUUCCUUGGGAGGAUAUAUCUAUGGACUUUGUUUUAGGUUUACCUCGAACAAAGAAGGGGAGGAAUAGCAUAUUUGUUGUCGUGGAUAGAUUCUCGAAAAUAGCACACUUUAUACCAUGUCAUAAAAGCGAUGAUGCUGUUAAUGUUGCUGAUUUGUUCUUUCGUGAAAUUAUUCGCUUGCAUGGUGUGCCAAAUACUAUUGUUUCAGAUCGUGAUACUAAAUUUCUUAGCCACUUUUGGAGAUGUUUAUGGGCUAAGUUGGGGACUAAACUACUUUUUAGUACUACUUGUCACCCCCAAACUGAUGGACAAACUAAAGUAGUCAAUAGAACAUUGUCUACUAUGCUUAGGGCUGUUUUGAAGAAUAAUAAGAAAAUGUGGGAGGAAUGCUUGCCUCAUAUUGAAUUUGCUUAUAAUCGUUCAUUGCAUUCUACUACUAAGAUGUGCCCUUUUGAAGUUGUGUAUGGUUUCCUACCUCGUGCACCUAUUGAUUUGUUGCCUCUUCCAUCUUCGGAGAAGGUUAAUUUUGAUGCUAAACAACGUGCUGAAUUGAUUUUAAAAAUGCAUGAGUUAACUAAGGAAAACAUUGAGCGCAUGAAUGCUAAAUAUAAACUUGCUGGAGAUAAGGGUAGAAAACAUGUUGUGUUUGCACCUGGAGAUCUUGUUUGGUUACAUUUGCGUAAGGAUAGAUUUCCUGAUUUGCGCAAAUCAAAGUUAAUGCCACGUGCUGAUGGUCCCUUUAAGGUGUUAGAGAAAAUAAAUGAUAAUGCAUAUAAACUGGAGCUGCCUGCAGAUUUUGGGGUUAGUCCCACUUUUAACAUUGCAGAUUUGAAGCCUUAUUUGGGUGAGGAAGAUGAACUUCCGUCGAGGACGACUUCAUUUCAAGAAGGGGAGGAUGAUGAGGACAUCAAUACAAUUGUUACACCCACAACCCCUGCUGCUAUACAUACUGGACCAAUUACUAGAGCUCGUGCACGCCAACUAAAUUACCAGGUACUUUCGUUUCUUGGUAAUGAUUCUAAUGUUCAUGAGAAUAUGAUGCUGCCUAAAUUGGAUACAUUUGUUUUGCUUACAAAUGAAGGGCCUAGCUUGGAGAAGGAUGAAGAUUGGAGCAAGAACAAGCAUGGAGAUGAUGGCAUGCGCAAGGGGAACAAGAACGGAGUUACAAGUGAUGAUUUCAGGACUUUGAAGCCACCAUAAUGGGUGCAUGAAUCCUUGGACGAAAUAUACAAGAUGCCACUUCAUAAAUUUCGUCCCGAGGCUAUUUUAGGUGCUGCGUCACCUUAUUAUUGGGCCAGGCCCAUGUAAUUUCGAAAUACAUAAGUAUAGGCUAUUUUUAGAGUCCGUAUGUGUGGGGAAACAAGAGAUAGGGUUGAUUUCGGACCCCUCCACCAAGGGCCACGAAAUUCCCCCCCCCCCUCUUCCUCCAUAUAUACAGCCCUUAGGGCAUCGUUUAGACUUUGGGUUUUGUUUAGAUUAAAAGUUCGCCAUAGCUGCAACUUCACGUACUUCGUUUGUGUUCAACGACCAGACAAAGGCGUCACAGAACCCCACCUUGAUCAAUAAAGCUUUCAUCUUAUAUUCGCAAUAUCCAGAUUGCAAUCUCAGUUUCUUGCUUGUUCUUCGUUUGCUCGCAGGAAACAGACCCUCGUGGUCAGGUUGAUCGUGCUCCGGCGUGGUCAAUAACCUCUCGGAGUUGGUUUAGCGAUUGCUAAGGCGCGACGUCCUCGCACGUUCGUAGUCGGAUCGUCAAAGUCGACUUCCACCAAAGCGAAAUCCACCAUCUCAUCGAAAGACGGGACACCUUUGCCUCUAUCACGGUCGGUGCAAAAGGUGCACUUCCCAAGGUUACCAAACAAACGUGCAUCACGUAGAGCAAUAAAAACAGCACGUAAAUGUUCCAAAUGUUCUUCCAAAGAUCUGCUAUAAAUCAAUAUGUCAUCAAAGUAAACUACCACAAAUCGUCCAAUGAAAGCACGUAAAACUUCGUUCAUUAAUCUCAUGAAAGUACUAGGUGCAUUAGUUAACCCAAAAGGCAUGACUAACCACUCAUAUAAUCCAAACUUAGUUUUAAAUGCUGUUUUCCAUUCAUCUCCCAAUUUCAUACGAAUUUGAUGGUAGCCACUACGCAAAUCAACUUUGGAGAAUAUUGUAGAGCCACUCAAUUCAUCAAGCAUAUCAUCUAGCCUAGGAAUAGGAUGACGAUAACGAAUAGUAAUAUUAUUAAUGCCUCUACAAUCAACACACACACGUGAUGUACCAUCCUUUUUCGGCACUAGAAUAAUAGGAACGGCACAAGGACUAAGGGAUUCGCGUAUAUAACCUUUGUCGAGAAGCUCUUGUACUUGACGCAUAAUCUCCUUCGUCUCCUCUGGAUUAGUACGGUAUGGUGCACGGUUUGGCAGUGAAGCACCGGGAAUUAAGUCAAUCUGAUGCUCAAUCCCUCGAAUAGGCGGUAAUCCCGGUGGCACGUCUUGUGGAAAAACGUCAGCGAACUCCUGCAAAAUGUUAGUGACAGCAGGAGGCAAAGAGGAAGGCACGUCCUCGAAUGAAAAUAAUGCCUCUUUGCACACAAAAGCAUAGCAAACAGAUUUGCUGAAAUCUAGCUCAUCAAUAUCAGAUUUGGUGGCAAAUAAACAUGCACUUUUCAAUUUAAUUUCAGAAGCAACACUAGAUGGUUUAUUAUUAGGCUUCAUUUGUUGCUCAAAUUCUUUUGCCACAAUCUAAUUUUCACUCUUAUUCUUCUCCUGUUGUGCUUUAUUAGCUCUAUUAAUAUCAUCUUUCAAAAUGGAAUCAGGAGUCAUAGGAAGCAAAGUAAUAUUUUUAUCCUUAUGAACAAGAGUAUAGUGAUUGUUUCUACCAUGGUGUACAGAGUUUUUAUCAAAUUGCCAUGGUCUACCAAGUAAUAAGGAACAUGCUUGCAUAGGUACCACAUCACAAUCAACAUAAUCAGCAUAUGUAGAGAUACUAAAAUGCACACGAACAGUACGUGUUACCUUAACCUUGCCGCUGUUGUUGAACCAUUGGAUGUAGUAAGGAUGUGGAUGUGGUCUUGUGGUGAGUGAAAGCUUCUCCACCAUCUCCAUGCUAGCCAAGUUGUUGCAGCUCCCUCCGUCUAUUAUGACGCGCACAGAACGUUCCUUCACAACUCCCUUGGUAUGGAACAAAUUGUGCCUCUGAUUUUGCUCAGCUUGUGUGACCUGCACACUCAAAACACGUUGAGCAACUAAACAUUCAUACCUGUCAGCGUCUUCAGGAGCCAUGUAUUGCGUCUCAUGAUCAGAAUCAUCUCCACCAUGAUCUUCACGUGUAAUAAGAGCCAAUGUCUCCUCAUCAUAGUCACUAGCGGACUCAUAUCCACCAUCCGCGGUAGCAAUCAUCACACGCGGAGAUUUGCAUUCCCUCGCAUAAUGACCUCCUCCCUUACAACGACGACAAAUAAUAUCACUUGUGUGCCCUGUUGAUGCCAUGGAAGAAGAAGAACGCUGUGCAGGCCCCGCAGGUGCGCUCUUGGCAGAUAAUGGUGGUUGUGCCUGUUUUCUUGUAUCACGGCUGGAGGUGGCACCGGAUGGAGGUGCUGGUGCAGUUGAAGUAGAAGAUGCACGUGGUGUCCAUGAUGAAGGUCGGCCUGCAGAAAAGUUAGUUCGCCCCAAUGCUUGUCGAUCCUGCACUUCACGUUCAGCUUUACAAGCAAGAUGGAAUAAACGAGUGAUAUUAGUAUACUCCUUAUAGUCUAAAAUGGUCUGAAUCUCUCUAUUUAAUCCACCCAGAAAAUGUGCAAGCAUAGCUUCAUUCUCCUCAACAAUACCACAUCUAAUCAUGCCAGUUUGUAAUUCCUGAUAAUAUUCUUCUACAGAAUUUUUCCCUUGUCUUAAACGCUGCAAUUUUUGAAGCAAUUUGAUGAGGACAUCAAUACAAUUGUUACACCCACAGCCCCUGCUGCUAUACAUACUGGACCAAUUACUAGAGCUCGUGCACGCCAACUAAAUUACCAGGUACUUUCGUUUCUUGGUAAUGAUUCUAAUAUUCAUGAGAAUAUGAUGCUGCCUAAAUUGGAUACAUUUGUUUUGCUUACAAAUGAAGGGCCUAGCUUGGAGAAGGAUGAACAUUGGAGCAAGAACAAGCAUGGAGAUGAUGGCAUGCGCAAGGGGAACAAGAACGGAGUUACAAGUGAUGAUUUCAGGACUUUGAAGCCACCAUAAUGGGUGCAUGAAGCCUUGGACGAAAUAUACAAGAUGCCACUUCAUAAAUUUCGUCCCGAGGCUAUUUUAGGUGCUGCGUCACCUUAUUAUUGGGCCAGGCCCAUGUAAUUUCGAAAUACAUAAGUAUAGGCUAUUUUUAGAGUCCGUAUGUGUGGGGAAACAAGAGAUAGGGUUGAUUUCGGACCCCUCCACCAAGGGCCACGAAAUUCCCCCCUCUUCCUCCAUAUAUACAGCCCUUAGGGCAUCGUUUAGACUUUGGGUUUUGUUUAGAUUAAAAGUUCGCCAUAGCUGCAACUUCGCGUACUUCGUUUGUGUUCAACGACCAGACAAAGGCGUUACAGAACCCCACCUUGAUCAAUAAAGCUUUCAUCUUAUAUUCGCAAUAUCCAGAUUGCAAUCUUAGUUUCUUGCUUGUUCUUCGUUUGCUCGCAGGAAACAGACCCUCGUGGUCAGGUUGAUCGUGCUCCGGCGUGGUCAAUAACCUCUCGGAGUUGGUUUAGCGAUUGCUAAGGCGCGACGUCCUCGCACGUUCGUAGUCGGAUCAUCAAAGUCGACUUCCACCAAAGCGAUAUCCAUCAUCUCAUCGAAAGACGGGACACCUUUGCCUCUAUCAGUAGAAGGCUGAUGGAGCAUCUCUCAGCAAGAGGUGAAGUUUUAACCUUAGCUAGUGUAUCACCAGGAUCUGGAGUAGUACAUCCAGAAGUUUAAGGUGGAGCUCCAUGAAGCCGUAUUAGACAAGGAAGCAUUUCGUGAAGAACUCAGGAACCAAAAGCUAAAAGUAGCCAAGCUGGAGGAGCUACAACCUCGAGGUACCGGAGAUUUGUCAGGAACUGAAGGACAGUAGGACCAUGGUUCAUGUGAAGGAUGUUGAAACCAAAAGUUUGGAACGCAACUCCAGAAUAUUAAAGGACGUCACGAGAGACUUCGCGUCAACAGAGUUGAUCUAGCAAAAGAACUUGAGAAAGACAAGCAUGAUCGGAAGAAGCCAUUGGAGGCAUGAACAAGGCUUGAAGAGUUUGGAGAGUUGAAGAUUUAUUGACCUUUAAAAGACCAAACCCCUGUUAUAUACCUACGUUAGAUGCGACGUUUGUGAGCUGUCAUUUGUUUGAUGUUUUUCCCAAUGGCCACAAAUAAAAUCUGUCUUUUCAAAACUUUUGUUUGUAUUGUGUGUAUCCCUCUUUAUCUCUCUUAUCUCACCCCAAACCCAUGGACCCAAUAGAGGAUGAAUGAAGAUGAGCUUAUAUUUUCCUGGACCGAUAAGUCAAUUGGAGACGGACCGAUGGAUUCAGAACAUGGAGGAUCACAUGGAGAAUAACCCUAUAGUUGGAAAUGAUAUGACCCAGCAUGCUCUUUAGUGCUUUGAAAGAGGUGCUGCUACUUGGUGGAGGAUAUACCAAACCAUGAAUGGAUGGCAAGGAGUAACCACUUGGAGAGAAUUUAAGUUGACUAUGCCAAAGCCUCGGUUUGUGUCCCAAAAGUUGAAGCCUUAUGGAAAGGAUAUGAAGAAACCUUAUGCAUGCAAGAUUUAUGGAGAAAACGGACACACCCAUAAAGAACGCAAGGAUGAGUGCCCUAAUUGUGAAGGAAGUCACCCAAUUGAAGAAUGCCCAACUAGGCAGAUUACUUGUUUCUUGUGUGAAGGGAUUUCCCACUAUCCUACUUAGUGUCACAUUUACCCCAUGGUACGAAGGACCGUACAACAGAAGAAAGAAGUAAAGAAAGGAGCCCUUAUGGAAAUUUUAGAAGAACCCGUGAUGAAGGAAGAUGUGGAGGACACACCUAAAGAAUACCCGAGUAAACCCUGCACUAAGUCUUGCUAUUCAUGUGGAGAAGAAGGACACAUCUCCCAAAAUUGUUUGAUCGGGACCCUCGCCUCUAUCAGCAUCUAGUAGAAUUCCCGACAGAGGAAGUAGAGUAUGACCCACAAGAAAUAGAAGCCAUGAUUGGCAUGGAAAUUUCUAGGAAGAGAAGCAGAUUGGAUUCCAGGAAGGACCUGACUCAUAUCACCUGUUACAGGUGCAAGGAGUCAGGGCACUACCUCAACAGUUGCCCAAAAAGGAAACGUUGAGACUUGUCAAAAGUAAUAUGUUUUAAUGGAGCAGGGCACUUUGCCAGAGAAUGCCCUAAGGAGAAGGAAACUUGUGCUAGAUAGUCGAGUUUGCAACAAAAGAAAUGGAGUAGUAGAAGUGAGAACAUUUUUCUUCUAUAUUGAGGUGUUGAGUUGAGACAUGUAAUGGAGAAGCGAGAGAUUGUAAUCAUUUGAGAAUGAAUAAAGUAGCAUCGUUGGUACUGAUAUGGAUUUUAUGAGUUGUUACUCUAUGAAGAAGGAUUUUGACCAUUUUGAGGAUAAGAGAAAUAUGGUCUAUGGAAGAUUUGUGCAUUUUAAGGGUGGUAGUACCCUGUAAGAACCGUUGACCCCUAGAAAAGAUAAGGAUACUCCACUGAGUGGAUUUCGGACAAAAUGAAUACGAGUUUUGUCUCGAUAUGUGUGAUGCCCCAAGAGUAUGUAGGAUGAAGUUGGAGACCGUUAGUUGUUUGGACCAAAUGUGAUCAAGGAGUCAGAAUAGAAUGUUAAGUUGAUUCGAGAUAGACCGAAGGUAGCUCAGUCCAGGUAGAAGAGUUAUGCAGACUUAAAAACGCAAGGAGGUAGUCUAUGACAUUGGAGACAGAGCAUGUCUUCGCGUGUUCCCUCUGCGGGGAGUUAAACAAUUUAGAGUUAAGGGACAGUUAGCCCCGAGAUUUGUAGGACCAUACCGAGUUUUGGAGCGUAUGGGACAAGUGGCCAACAAGUUGGAGUCACCCGAAGGACUGUCAGGAGUUCAUGAUGUGUUUCACAUUUCCCAGUUGAAGAAGUGCCAUGCAGAGAUGGCCAAUAUUCCCCUGUAAGAACGCUUGACUCUGGAAAGGAUAAUGAUGUUCCACGAAGUGGAAUAUGGACUCCAUCAGUAUCAGUUUUUAUAUCGGUAUGUGGGAUACCCCACGAGGAUGAAGAGAUGAAUUACUAUUGGAUAUAAAGGAGGUAUGAUGUUGGAAAUAUGGAUCAAUGGAAACUCCAUUAUGAGUCUGAGUAAUCAUGUCCUAGUUUGGUGCCAAUAGAAGGAAGGAAGACAAUACAAUUGGAAAGAUUUAUGAAUACUAGGAAGUUGGAAGUUGGAAUAAUGAUCAGUUGCCCGAUGAUAAGUUCCAGGACUACAAGUGAUUGGCCAUAACUGAUAGAGGCAAAGGUGUCCCGUCUUUCGAUGAGAUGAUGGAUAUCGCUUUGGUGGCAGUCGACUUUGACGAUCCGACUACGAACGUGCGAGGACGUCGCGCCUUAGCAAUUGCUAAACCAACUCCGAGAGGUUAUUGACCACGCCGGAGCACGAUCAACCUGACCACGAGGGUCUGUUUCCUGCGAGCAAACGAAGAACAAGCAAGAAACUGAGAUUGCAAUCUGGAUAUUGCGAAUAUAAGAUGAAAGCUUUAUUGAUCAAGGUGGGGUUCUGUGACGCCUUUGUCUGGUCGCUGAACACAAACGAAGUACGCGAAGUUGCAGCUAUGGCGAACUUUUAAUCUAAACAAAACCCAAAGUCUAAACGAUGCCCUAAGGGCUGUAUAUAUGGAGGAAAGGGGGGGAAUUUCGUGCCCCUUGGUGGAGGGGUCCGAAAUCAACCCUAUCUUUUGUUUCCCCACACAUACGGACUCUAAAAAUAGCCUAUACUUAUGUAUUUCGAAAUUACAUGGGCCUGUCCCAAUAAUAAGGUGACGCAGCACCUAAAAUAGCCUCAGGACGAAAUUUAUGAAGUGGCAUCUUGUAUAUUUCGUCCAAGGCUUCAUGCACCCAUUAUGGUGGCUUCAAAGUCCUGAAAUCAUCACUUGUAACUCCGUUCUUGUUCCCCUUGCGCAUGCCAUCAUCUCCAUGCUUGUUCUUGCUCCAAUGUUCAGCCUUCUCCAAGCUAGGCCCUUCAUUUGUAAGCAAAACAAAUGUAUCCAAUUUAGGCAGCAUCAUAUUCUCAUGAACAUUAGAAUCAUUACCAAGAAACAAAAGUAGCUGGUAAUUUAGUUGGCGUGCACGAGCUCUAGUAAUUGGUUCAGUAUGUAUAGCAGCAGGGGCUGUGGGUCUAACAAUUGUAUUGAUGUCCUCAUCAUCCUCCCUUUCUUGAAAUGAAGUCGUCCUCGACGGAAGUUCAUCUUCCUCAUCCAAAUAAGGCUUCAAAUCUGCAAUGUUAAAAGUGGGACUAACCCCAAAAUAUGCAUUAUCAUUUAUUUUCUCCAACACCUUAAAGGGACCAUCAACACGUGGCAUUAACUUUGGUUUGCGCAAAUCAGGAAAUCUAUCCUUACGCAAAUGUAACCAAACAAGAUCUCCAGGUGCAAACACAACAUGUUUUCUACCCUUAUCUCCAGCAAGUUUAUAUUUAGCAUUCAUACGCUCAAUGUUUUCCUUAGUUAACUCAUGCAUUUUAAAAAUCAAUUCAGCACGUUGUUUAGCAUCAAAAUUAACCUUCUGCAAAGAUGGAAGAGGCAACAAAUCAAUAGGUGCACGAGGUAGGAAACCAUACACAACUUCAAAAGGGCACAUCUUAGUAGUAGAAUGCAAUGAACGAUUAUAAGCAAAUUCAAUAUGAGGCAAGCAUUCCUCCCACAUUUUCUUAUUAUUCUUCAAAAUAGCCCUAAGCAUAGUAGACAACGUUCUAUUGACUACUUCAGUUUGUCCAUCAGUUUCGGGGUGACAAAUAGUACUAAAAAGCAGUUUAGUCCCCAACUUAGCCCAUAAACAUCUCCAAAAGUGGCUAAGAAAUUUAGUAUCAUGAUCUGAAACAAUAGUAUUUGGCACACCAUGCAAGCGAAUAAUUUCACGAAAGAACAAAUCAGCAACAUUAACAACAUCAUCGCUUUUAUGACAUGGUAUAAAGUGUGCCAUUUUCGAGAAUCUAUCCACGACAACAAAUAUGCUAUCCCUCCCCUUCUUUGUUCGAGGUAAACCUAAAACAAAGUCCAUAGAUAUAUCCUCCCAAGGAACACUAGGUACAGGCAAAGGCAUAUAUAAACCAUGAGGAUUGAGUCGUGACUUAGCUUUUUGACAUGUAGUGCAGCGAGCAAUAAAACGCUCAACAUCCCCUCUCAUCUUUGGCCAAAAGAAAUGUGUAGCAAGUACGUCCUCCGUCUUCUUCAUGCCAAAGUGUCCCAUUAAUCCUCCUCCAUGCGCCUCCUGCAACAACAAAAGACGAACGGAGCUAGCUGGAACGCAUAGCUUGUUAGCACGAAACACAAAUCCAUCGUUAACGACGAACUUGUUCCACAUUCUUCCUUCUUUACAAUUCUGCAUUACAUCUUUAAGAUCAGCAUCAUGCACAUAUUGAUCUUUGAUGGUCUCCAAACCAAAUAUUUUGAAGUCAAGUUGUGAAAGCAUAGUAUAGCGACGAGACAAUGCAUCAGCAAUAACAUUUUCUUUUCCCUUCUUGUGUUUAAUGACAUAAGGGAAAGUCUCAAUGAAUUCAACCCAUUUAGCAUGUCUACGAUUCAGUUUAGCUUGACUUUUAAUAUGUUUCAAAGAUUCAUGAUCAGAAUGUAUAACAAAUUCUUUGGGCCAUAAAUAAUGUUGCCAUGUUUCUAAAGUCCGAACAAGAGCAUAUAAUUCUUUAUCAUAAGUAGAAUAAUUCAGACUAGGCCCACUCAAUUUUUCAGAAAAGUAUGCAACAGGUUUGCCAUCUUGUAAUAACACACCUCCUAAUCCAAUUCCACUAGCAUCACAUUCAAGCUCAAAAGUCUUAUUAAAAUCAGGAAGUUGGAGUAAGGGAGCAUGUGUCAACUUAUCUUUCAAUACCGUGAAGGCUUCUUCCUGUGCGGUACCCCAAACAAAAGGCACAUCCUUCUUUGUAAGCUCGUUGAGAGGUGCAGCAAUGGUGCUGAAAUCUCUCACAAAACGCCUAUAGAAUCCAGCGAGGCCAAGAAAACUCCUCACUUGUGUGACCGUUUUGGGCUGCGGCCAACUCUCAAUAGCUUCAAUCUUGGCUUUGUCAACUUCAAUUCCCUGUGGAGUAACAACAUAGCCAAGAAAAGAUACUCGGUCGGUGCAAAAGGUGCACUUCCCAAGGUUACCAAACAAACGUGCAUCACGUAGAGCAAUAAAAACAGCACGUAAAUGUUCCAAAUGUUCUUCCAAAGAUCUGCUAUAAAUCAGUAUAUCAUCAAAAUAGACUACCACAAAUCGUCCAAUGAAAGCACGUAAAACUUCGUUCAUUAAUCUCAUGAAAGUACUAGGCGCAUUAGUUAACCCAAAAGGCAUGACUAACCACUCAUAUAAUCCAAACUUAGUUUUAAAUGCUGUUUUCCAUUCAUCUCCCAAUUUCAUACGAAUUUGAUGGUAGCCACUACGCAAAUCAACUUUGGAGAAUAUUGUAGAGCCACUCAAUUCAUCAAGCAUAUCAUCUAGCCUAGGAAUAGGAUGACGAUAACGAAUAGUAAUAUUAUUAAUGCCUCUACAAUCAACACACAUACGUGAUGUACCAUCCUUUUUCGGCACUAGAAUAAUAGGAACAGCACAAGGACUAAGGGAUUCGCGUAUAUAACCUUUGUCGAGAAGCUCUUGUACUUGACGCAUAAUCUCCUUCGUCUCCUCUGGAUUGGUAUGGUAUGGUGCACGGUUUGGCAGUGAAGCACCGGGAAUUAAGUCAAUCUGAUGCUCAAUCCCUCGAAUAGGCGGUAAUCCCGGUGGCACGUCUUGUGGAAAAACGUCAGCGAACUCCUGCAAAAUGUUAGUGACAGCAGGAGGCAAAGAGUGAUAGAGGCAAAGGUGUCCCGUCUUUCGAUGAGAUGGUGGAUUUCGCUUUGGUGGAAGUCGACUUUGACGAUCCGACUACGAACGUGCGAGGACGUCGCGCCUUAGCAAUCGCUAAACCAACUCCGAGAGGUUAUUGACCACGCCGGAGCACGAUCAACCUGACCACGAGGGUCUGUUUCCUGCGAGCAAACGAAGAACAACCAAGAAACUAAGAUUGCAAUCUGGAUAUUGCGAAUAUAAGAUGAAAGCUUUAUUGAUCAAGGUGGGGUUCUGUGACGCCUUUGUCUGGUCGUUGAACACAAACGAAGUACGCGAAGUUGCAGCUAUGGCGAACUUUUAAUCUAAACAAAACCCAAAGUCUAAACGAUGCCCUAAGGGCUGUAUAUAUGGAGGAAGAGGGGGGAAUUUCGUGGCCCUUGGUGGAGGGGUCCGAAAUCAACCCUAUCUCUUGUUUCCCCACACAUACGGACUCUAAAAAUAGCCUAUACUUAUGUAUUUCGAAAUUAUAUGGGCCUGGCCCAAUAAUAAGGUGACGCAGCACCUAAAAUAGCCUCGGGACGAAAUUUAUGAAGUGGCAUCUUGUAUAUUUCGUCCAAGGCUUCAUGCACCCAUUAUGGUGGCUUCAAAGUCCUGAAAUCAUCACUUGUAACUCCAUUCUUGUUCUUGCUCCAAUGUUCAUCCUUCUCCAAGCUAGGCCCUUCAUUUGUAAGCAAAACAAAUGUAUCCAAUUUAGGCAGCAUCAUAUUCUCAUGAACAUUAGAAUCAUUACCAAGAAACGAAAGUACCUGGUAAUUUAGUUGGCGUGCACGAGCUCUAGUAAUUGGUCCAGUAUGUAUAGCAGCAGGGGCUGUGGGUGUAACAAUUGUAUUGAUGUCCUCAUCACAAAGUGUCCCAUUAAUCCUCCUCCAUGCGCCUCCUGCAACAACAAAAGACGAACGGAGCUAGCUGGAAUGCAUAGCUUGUUAGCACGAAACACAAAUCCAUCAUUAACGACAAACUUGUUCCACAUUCUUCCUUCUUUGCAAUUCUGCAUUACAUCUUUAAAAUCAGCAUCAUGCACAUAUUGAUCUUUGAUGGUCUCCAAACCAAAUAUUUUGAAGUCAAGUUGUGAAAGCAUAGUAUAGCGACGAGACAAUGCAUCAGCAAUAACAUUUUCUUUUCCCUUCUUGUGUUUAAUGACAUAAGGGAAAGUCUCAAUGAAUUCAACCCAUUUAGCAUGUCUACGAUUCAGUUUAGAUUGACUUUUAAUAUGUUUCAAAGAUUCAUGAUCAGAAUGUAUAACAAAUUCUUUGGGCCAUAAAUAAUGUUGCCAUGUUUCUAAAGUCCGAACAAGAGCAUAUAAUUCUUUAUCAUAAGUAGAAUAAUUCAGACUAGGCCCACUCAAUUUUUCAGAAAAGUAUGCAACAGGUUUGCCAUCUUGUAAUAACACACCUCCUAAUCAAAUUCCACUAGCAUCACAUUCAAGCUCAAAAGUCUUAUUAAAAUCAGGAAGUUGGAGUAAAGGAGCAUGUGUCAACUUAUCUUUCAAUACCGUGAAGGCUUCUUCCUGUGCGGUACCCCAAAGAAAAGGCACAUCUUUCUUUGUAAGCUCAUUGAGAGGUGCAGCAAUGGUGCUGAAAUCUCUCACAAAACGCCUAUAGAAUCCAGCGAGGCCAAGAAAACUCCUCACUUGUGUGACCGUUUUGGGCUGCGGCCAACUCUCAAUAGCUUCAAUCUUGGCUUUAUCAACUUCAAUUCCCUGUGGAGUAACAACAUAGCCAAGAAAAGAUACUCGGUCGGUGCAAAAGGUGCACUUCCCCAGGUUACCAAACAAACGUGCAUCACGUAGAGCAAUAAAAACAGCACGUAAAUGUUCCAAAUGUUCUUCCAAAGAUCUGCUAUAAAUCAAUAUGUCAUCAAAGUAAACUACCACAAAUCGUCCAAUGAAAGCACGUAAAACUUCGUUCAUUAAUCUCAUGAAAGUACUAGGUGCAUUAGUUAACCCAAAAGGCGUGACUAACCACUCAUAUAAUCCAAACUUAGUUUUAAAUGCUGUUUUCCAUUCAUCUCCCAAUUUCAUACGAAUUUGAUGGUAGCCACUACGCAAAUCAACUUUGGAGAAUAUUGUAGAGCCACUCAAUUCAUCAAGCAUAUCAUCUAGCCUAGGAAUAGGAUGACGAUAACGAAUAGUAAUAUUAUUAAUGCCUCUACAAUCAACACACAUACGUGAUGUACCAUCCUUUUUCGGCACUAGAAUUGAUGGAGGCGGGGUGUCCCGAUCUUUCGAUGAGAUGAUAACUAUCGAUUAGGUGGAGACGAUUUUGACGAUCCGACUACAAACGUGCAUGACGUUGUGCCUUAGCAAUCGCUAAACCAACUCCGAGAGGUUAUUGACCACGCCGGAGCACAAUCAACCUGACCACGAAGGUCUAUUCCUGCAAGCAAUCGAAGAACAAGGAAGAAUAUGAUAAAAGCAAUCUGAAUAUCGCGAGUAUGUAUGAAGUAUUGAUAAAGGUGGGGAUCCGUAAGCGGUCUUGGUCUGGUCGUUGGACACAAACGAAGUACACGAAGUUGCAAUGGCUAACUUUUAACUAAACAAAUCCCCAGGAAAAGCUACUAGAUGGAUCUACUUAUAUAGGAGCAAGGGGUGGCGGCCAAGGAGGUGGGAGGACGUCGCAAGGCAGCCUAAAACUAAAUCUAGGUCGUACAAGGCCAAUGGGCCCAAGUGGAGGUGAUGUAACACCUUUGGACUUGUAGUUUGACUCGGAUUCUGCUGCAGCAUCAGAUUGUUUCGUCCACAACUCAACGCUCCGGACGAAUUUGAAGGUCAUUCCAAUUGGGUUGGAAAGUGCACGAAAUCUAGUUUCCAACAAAAAAAGAAUCACCCAAUUCGGAGUCCGUAUAAAAAACUUGUGUGCGUUUUGAGUCAGGUAUGUCUGUGCAGUCCGAAUCUGAAUCCAGAACGUGAGAGACUUGGACUCUAUCUUCUCUUGGGCCAAAAGUGACGUGAGAGAACUUUUUGGACAGCAAAUAUACAUCUCUUUCUUCCUUAUCUUCAUAUGUGGAUUGUACAAAUGUCCCAUACACCUGCAAUUAGACAAAACACAAAAGUGUGUGAAGUAUUUUUGUUCUGGAUAACGUAAAUAGAUUAUUGAAUAGUUUGCACUAGAAAUCACCUGACAAAUAUGCAUAUAUGCAAUAUUUUUGGUCAUAUCCAAGGUAGUCAUGUCCUCAUCAUCCUCCCCUUCUUGAAAAUAAAGCCGUCCUCGGCGUUGCUUAAUCUGAAAUGUGGCUAACAAAAGAGACAAGGUGUACAUGUUGUAUAUGUAUAUGUCAUCCAUUUUUACUUCCCUUGAUUUUUGCAUAUAUGACACAUGAAUAGGUGAGUAACUUGCAUAGUUCAUAAAAUCUAAAGCCAAAAAAUUAGCACAAGAAGUAGAAGGCAUGAAAAUAUUGCAACUCAGUUUGCACAUAUAAGUGAAGCUCUUAUUCAUUUCAAAAGAUUGACAAUGUUCAUCAUUAAACCAUCCCAACAUUGGUGAAUAAACCUUACUUGCAUCAAAUUUACAUGCUACAACAUGCUUAAAUAAUCAAACAUGCAAUAAGUCAUUCAACACAGAAUCAUCACCAAGAUUAGAGGUCAUAUCAAAAUGAUUAAACAUUGGUUCUUUUGCAUCAAUAGUUAAUUCAAUGGGUGCACUCAAAAUUGUUGGUAUUUCAGUUGUUUGAUCACAUGGCAAAGUCAAAUUAUCAACGUAGUCCUCUAAAAUAGGUGGUGUGAUCAAAGUAAUGGGUAGCUCAUCAGAUGGUGCAUUCAAAUUGACAAGGCAUUCAUCAUUCUCAUGUAGAGAUGGAAGAUCAGUACCUUUGUCAUUACCUCUUAUGAUCAACUCAGAUGAUGUAGCCACUCUCGGGGGCGAUGUGUCACAUGGUGGAGGUGAUGUAGUCCUGACAACAACGGAUGUGGUUGUCAUAGUAUGCCUAGUAGUUGAAGGAACAAUCAUAUCAACUCUUGGAAUGUGCACCGUGCGCUUGUUCUCCUCGUGGCCAACACGUCGUUUUAUUUCCUGUUCAGCUUUGCAAGCAAGAUGAGACAAAUGGUCCAUAGGAUAACACUCUUUAUGAAUUAGUAUCUCUUGAAUAUCACGAUUUAAUCCUCCCCAAAAUCUAUCCAUAAAAUCAUCUUCACUUUCUUCUAAAGAGGAAUGCAACAAGGUAGUUUGUAAAUCAUCAUAAUAUUUUGGUACAGUUUCACUACCUUGUUUUAAGUGUUGCAACUUCUUAAUCAUGUCACGAGUAUAAUAAGCAGGGACGAAAGUAUGUCGCAUGGCAAGUUUCAAAUCAUCCCAAGUAGUAGGUAUAUAAUCAGGGUGUAACCGACAAUAUUCACUCCACCAAACCAAAGCAUAACCAGUGAAAGAACCAACCGCAACCUUAACCUUUUUAUGUUCAUCGAAAUUAUGGGAAGCAAAUAUAUUUUUUAUGUCGAACUCCCAUUCAAUACAUAAAGCAGGUUUAAAACGGCCAUUAAAUGGUGGUAUAGAUACAUUAACCUGAUCAUGUGCAUUUGGAUGUUUGUGCACCUCUCGUGACGGUUGUGGUAUUUGCAAAGGUGGUGGCACGUCUCCCGCGAUCGACAAAGCCCAUGAAUUGACUCUGGAUCCUGUCAUGAUUAGUAGAACAAGAAACAAAACCCAAAAAUAAUGUUCCUAUAACUACUAGGAUGUGGUGGUAAAACGCUCACAGUAAAGCAAAUAUCAAUGUCUUACAAGUUCUUACCAUGCAGCAGGCGGUGAUCGGCAACCAGCGCUGUCAAGUAACUCCGAAUAUUUUGUAAAGUGAUUGCUAGGGGAGCGUACCUAUACACGGUGUAGAAAUAUGUGGAGCUGGGUUGGCUAUAUAUGGUAGCAAAAGAUUAGCAAUAAUCAAUUCAAAGAUGCAAUGUUGAAUAAAUGCUCAACGACGGUACUGUGCUGGUCCUAGGCUAGACCGGACUAGAGACGCGAGCCUAGAACACUAAUAAGGUCACGGCGUAGCACAACUAGCAUCAAUGAAGGAUACUAAGCAGCUCUUGACAGCAAGAUAUAAGUGAAGAUCACAACGGCAGUGAAGAUAAUGAUGAAAAACAACUGCCAAGCAGGAUAUACAACAACUCUCUCUCCAACUUUCCUCUUGAAAAGUUUGAGACAAUUUUCUGAUAAAUUCUUUCAAAGAAUGCUACUAACUCAAGCUUUCAAAUGCAAAAAGAAUCACUCAAUUCCGAGUUGAUAUGAGGAGUCAAAGAAUUCUAAAACUGGCCUGAAAAAUUGGAACAAGCUGUGUUCACGAACUUCGGAGGGCAAAAAGACCUAUUUAGAAGCCGAUUUUGAGGUGUCAAAUAUUGAACAAUCUUCUGCAACUAUUUAGAUGCGGCUCGUUGCUAUCUUCAAUUUGAGUACUCACGGAGCCAAAACGGACUUCGCAUGAGGAAGAUACACCUGUUUUACUGAACAGUGCGCAAAACAGAUUCCAAUCCGAAUUCAGAUACGAGAUUGAUUCUAGAUAGAUCCAAUUUUUUUUCUUCUCUCUUUUUUUUCUCACGCUUUUUUUUUCUUUUUCUUCUCCCUCUUUUUCUUUUUUUUUCUUUCCUUUUUUCUCUCUUUUUUUUUCUUUAUCUUCUUUUUCUCCCUCUUUCCAAGACAAACUAGAUAAGAUGCAGAUUCGAUCAGGCGAAGAUGUGAGUGACCUCAACUAUGAUUAUGACAAUAAACAGUGCGUAGCACAUGGUGGAAAUUGGUGGAUAGGAUGGUGGACAGCGGAUGGGAUAAUGAUGCAGCGGCUGCGUGACUAAUGUGAACAGAACUCGAAACUCUAAAGGAACUAGACACUAAGACCAGCAACUCGACACGGCGAUGCAACCGAUAAUUCAAUAAUGCAAACAAUGAAAAGAAAAUUGCAAAGGCUCAGUCUGGCUAGGACAAAGGAUGAAUAGAUCUAACUUUUGUUUUGUGGCUUUUUCUUGGACAAUAGGUAAGAAAAUAAAUCUAAUUUGGAAAAACUGGAAAUUCUCACCGAGCAACCUGAAAACUGAUACCACUUGAUAGAGGCGGGGUGUCCCGAUCUUUCAAUGAGAUGAUAACUAUCGAUUUGGUGGAGACGACCUUGACGAUCCGACUACAAACGUGCACGACGUUGUGCCUUAGCAAUCGCUAAACCAACUCCGAGAGGUUAUUGACCACGCCGAAGCACAAUCAACCUGACCACAAAGGUCUAUUCCUGCAAGCAAUCGAAGAACAAGCAAGAAUAUGAUAAAAGCAAUCUGAAUAUUGCGAGUAUGUAUGAAGUAUUGAUAAAGGUGGGGAUCCGUAAGCGGUCUUGGUCUGGUCGUUGGACACAAACGAAGUACACGAAGUUGCAAUGGCUAACUUUUAACUAAACAAAUCCCCCGGAAAAGC